AAACCAAGUAAAUUGAGAUCAUUCUCUAUCAGUUUAAUUUAUGUUUUAUAGUUAGUUUAGCAUUCUGAUUUGAUUGUCUUAGUAAUGUGAAUUGCCUACAGCUGCUGAUGAUACAGCUUUAAUUCUGUUUUAAAGGUCAUGUAAACAUGUGCCUGUAACAUAAGGAAUGCAAGUUCAAUUCCCUUUUAAUGUUUCCUCACAUUUACUACACAGCCUUCACAUAGAAAAUUAGCAGGAUUUAAUGUAAAACUAUCUUAAUGUUAUGAUUUCAUUAAAAUCCUUUUUCAAUAUUUUACUUUUCCUUUUGCAGGGCAAAGAAGUCUUCCUCUGCUUUGCAGUGCAUAGCUUAUGCAACAUACAUUACUCAUACUGGAGGCAUAAAAAUAUUUCUGUCAAGAUUUUUCACUUUUCCAGUGCUUUUUACUAAUAAAGAACUGAGAAUUUCAUUUCUGUCUCUCUGUAGCUUCGGGUAAAAAGGACACAAAGCAAACUCGAUCAUCUAACCACAUUUUAGAUUGCAGUGGAGAGAAUGAGAAUAUUGUGCACGUGUUUAGAAGCCUCUAGUCAAAGGCUUUUUUAUAAUCUGAACAUUUGAUCAAAACUGAACUGUGGAAAGCAUAU
rnacentral:lncRNA from 1 species